GGCAACAUGGCCGAGCGGUCUAAGGCGCUGGAAUCAGGUAUUAGGACCUUCGGUUCUGAGACAUAUCCAGUCCGAAAGGGCGUGGGUUCGAAUCCCACUGUUGUCA